AAGGAGAAAACCGAAAAUCCAACUAAAAGAGUAGGUG
rnacentral:ncRNA from 1 species